rnacentral:lncRNA from 1 species
CCCACUUGGCUUGUCACCCCUUUCAGUUCAUCUAGAGACUAAGCAGGUAGGAGGAAGUAAUCUCUAAAAGCGUAAGUGAAACCUCCCAUCGAGGGUGUGCACAAGCGAGCUGGAUGGGCAGGAGGAAAUAUUUGCAUUUACCUCAUCAAAACCUGAGUAUAAAUAGGCUGGAAAAUGUGAGACUUUCUCAAUUCCCAGGUGCAGGUGUGCGAAGCAGAGACAUCAAAGUGGAUCAUGGCCUCUCUCCUCUUCAUGCUGCAACUCCUCUUCCUUGGGACUCUAAUCGUCCCGGCAUAUUUGCAGAUGCAAGGAUGCGAUUUCCUCCCAAACGCGAUGGCAGGCAAUUUCUCCCUAUCUGUGAUACCUGAGACAUAUGCGGCGAACACAACCUACACAGUUCAAGUAAGUGACAGCAGAAACUUAACUGGUGAGAAAAAUGUGAUUGCGGUUUUGCUGCAAGCCUUAUCCUCCCAAAACAUUUCCGUGGGAGAAUGGAAGGACACAGGCCAUGAAAACUGCAGUGGUAUUUCUACAGCAGUAGUAAAUGCCACUAACACAACAGCAAAUUGGACAUCCCCAAGCAGUAACAUCACUUCUGUGGAAAUAAGGGCAUAUAUCCUCUUUUCUGAUAACACCACUGAGCUCAACAUGGUGACUCUGAAUGAAAAAGAGGCGAACGCGACGACAGCACCACCAACCAGCACCCCCAACUCCAUCUCUGCGGUUCAGAGUAGCACCAUCUUUGUAGCCGUCGCACAAGUGGUGCUGCUGUUUGUCACAAGCAAACUGCUCUCCUAGAAGUCGGGGAGAGGAAACGACCCGGCUGUGCUGCACCUUUCCUCCUUGCCUUCAGCACGUGUGGGAGGGCGGGCAGCUGAUCUACUCAGGAAAACUAUUUUCUUCAUGUAUUAGGAUGAUGACUGCACCUCUACAUUAAAUUAUAAAGGUCUGUUUGACCAGAGAGCUGAUCCUUCCCUUAUUCCCCUCAUCCAGGGCCAGCACACUUGGUAAGAUGAAAAAUUUCAUAGCAAGUCAGAGCUCACUCUGUUCAGAGCAGCUAGAAAAGCACCGCGUCGCCGAGAGCGGGUCCCCGAUAACCAAGGGGCGCCACGCGAGUUAAUUCCUCCCUCAUCACCUGGGCUUCUGUGAAGCAUGAAAAAAGCAUGAAAAUGCCUGCGAGAGGGCAAAGGCCCUCCUCUCGUCAGGGUACUGGCGUCUGUUGAGAAGCUCCAGGAGAAGCCUGCUCUCAGCUGUGUGGCCUGGGACCCACGCUCACAGCCUGUGUGCACGAGAGUGAGUGUUGGCGUGUGCGCACACCUCAACGGCAGUGUCGCACAGUCGCCCGUGGUGUGGUAAUCAAAACAGGGAGACGAAUCGGGAAUGGGGGGGAGGAAGGGGAAAUACGGGUUUCAGAUUCACCUGACUCAGCCAAGUUAAAACCUCCAGGGCAUGCACAGAAGAAAUAGAUGUGCCCACCAACCCUUCCCAAGACAAGCCGGAGAUCCUGCUGGCAGGGUAUCCUCCACAAAGGCCCUGGGCCUUGCGAGCUUAUUUUUCAUACUGCUCUUUAGUCCAGCAUCACCUGAAUCUUGUUAUUUCUCUGGAUGCCCUGUAAGGUUCCCCUGUUCUUGUUCUGGAAUGGGCGGGUGGGUAUUUUUUUUUUUUUUUUAAAUCAACAGCUGAUUUUGCUUUAGGGCAAGAUUGGAUGGGCCACUGAAUGUCUUGAUUUUAUUAUAUUUGUUUGUAUUUUUAUAAGGAUAAUGUUUAUCUGGGAAUUUUCAAGCUUCUGGAAGGUAAU